rnacentral:rRNA from 1 species
AUUAACGCUAGCGGCAGGCCUAAUACAUGCAAGUCGAACGGGAUUUCGGGUAGCAAUAUCUGAAUGAGAGUGGCGCACGGGUGCGUAACGCGUAUGCAAUCUACCUUUAACUGGGGAAUAGCCCUCCGAAAGGAGGAUUAACACCGCAUAAUACUACGAUGGGGCAUCUCAAUGUAGUCAAAACUCAGGUGGUUAAAGAUGAGCAUGCGUCCGAUUAGCUAGUUGGUGAGGUAAUGGCUCACCAAGGCGACGAUCGGUAGGGGGUCUGAGAGGAUGAUCCCCCACACUGGUACUGAGACACGGACCAGACUCCUACGGGAGGCAGCAGUAAGGAAUAUUGGACAAUGGGCGCAAGCCUGAUCCAGCUAUGCCGCGUGAAGGAUGACGGCCCUAUGGGUUGUAAACUUCUUUUAGCAGGGAAAAAACCCCUCGAUGCGUUGAGGGCUGAUGGUACCUGCAGAAUAAGGAUCGGCUAACUCCGU